UCUGCAGCUCAGUUGGUGAGAACGCUGGCCCGGAAACGCAGGGCCGCAGGUUCAAUUCCUGCGAGAG